CUAGUGGCUUUACAGGUGUCGUAAUGCAGGAAAAGUAUGUUUACACCUUACACAGACCAUUUAAAGCUAAUAUUAACAUUGAGUCAGCUGUUUUCUUUUACAAAUAUGAGUCAUAAUGGGUCUGACCUUGCUUGAAAUGUGACUCUGUUUGUGAAUUAAACCCAGCUGACACUUUCAGAGUUAGUGACACACUGGAUUUCCAUUGAUUGCGCAACAAAUCUAAAUAAAAAGGACAGCCCAUCCUCACCCUGACAACAACAGUAUAAAGGAAGCUUGCAGCCUGGCAGAAACCAUCUGAGGUAUCAACACUCAACAGGGACAAUUUACCAGGUAAGAUAUAUUUAAGGUUUUUCAUAUGUGCAUGAUUAAAGUACUCCCAGCUGAAUGUGACAUUUGAUUUCUCACAAUUUUCCACCUUUGCUUUAUUCAAACAAAGAUCGGUGUACACGUGAAAACAUGAAGACUGUGAUUCUUGCUAUAGUGGUGUUGCUGGUUGUCAGCCAGGCUGAAGCCUUGACGUGUUGGUGUGGAGGCUCGAGGAAAUGUUUAGGCCGCACAGAGGUCUGCACUGGCUCCAACAACGUCUGUGCCAGUGUCAGAUAUGAUCAAAACCUAUAGGCCGUUCCUUCAGUGUACUGUUCAGCUAAAAACAAUAGGGACAGAAAUACAUACCAGUUCAGAGUGAUUACUUUCUUUGAAAACUUGUAGAAGUUGUCUAAUAAUACAUCCUGUGUUUUUCCAUGUGUUCACAGCUAUGAACAACUUCCAUGGUUGCUACACUGAAAGUUCCUGCAGGAGCCUGGAUCGUCCUGGAGUAGCAUCUUCCAAAUUCUGCAAGACUGACCUUUGUCAGUGAUUAAUGAAUCUUACGCAACACAUUUUUCAGUGACUGAACAAUCUGAAUAAAUGUAUAUGUGUUGUGUACUUUUGCAUUGUCAUAAUAAAGAUCAAUCAAUUGCAACUUUUGUCCU